CCUUCUCACCCCGUUAAUGUAUUAAAAUGUGGAACGGUCUCGUUUGCUUAUUACAUUCUAUUACCCGCCCCACGUAGUUAGCAUGACUUACAUGUACUGUUUAGGGCCUGAUUAAACUUAAGCGUUGAAGCAGACUACUUUGUUACAUACUUUAGAUAAGAAGCCCGAAUCAGGCAUGUAUGCUGGUUGUAAUUAAUAAAUUCUGAUUCAGUUUGUAAACUAUCCUAUGGCUUGCCUAAG
rnacentral:lncRNA from 1 species